ACCAUCCUUCUGGAGGAUUGCCAUCAGACCCUGGCAGUGACUGCUUCCCAGCCACCUCCUGCACCUCUGUGCUAGAUAGGAUGGGUCCUGUCACAAUCCGACGACUGAAUUCUGUGGUCUUCAUCAACUUGAAGAGAGAUCAGUCCUCAUCUAAACAGUGUGUAAGCAAUAAAGCCAGAAAGAGCAGACAAACAAGAAAGCUGAACAAAAACAAGUGAAUAAAAAAAUAAAUAUUGGCUGCAUUGCUUCAGAAAAGCACGGUCUGGGGAAAAUUGUGUAAUGCUAUAAUUAGAUUUUAUCAUAAUGCAUCUGAGGAAGAAAGAUGAAAUGUGGUCACAAAGAAACAUUGUCUGGCACAAAAUCUCGCCUUUGAGUUUAGUUUUCAAUCUUCGGUAAAAUUGGCCUCAUAUCGGUUCCUUGUAUGUGUUUUCAUUUUUCUUAAGCUUUUAAGAGCUGUAAAGCAGACACUUCAUCUUGUGCUCCCAUCUUUGAUCUUCUCAGGGUUCAUUAAUGGAGCAGGGCUGGUUGGAUUCAUUGCCUGGAUAUCUGCCACAGGAGCUCAGAUGAAGGCAAUAACCAACGGCAAUGUUCAAUCCUCUCUGCGGGGCAGCUCUGGAGAUGUACAUAGGGAACAGUUUUCUGAGCUCAGUCUUUUAGACUCUGAUCUGCUUCUUUGCUAUGCUGCAGAUCUAACUUCUGAGACUUAGGGAAAAAAACAGUUAGGGAGGAACACUUGGAGGUCUGUGGUCCAAAGGCAAGCUGAAUUAGAGCCAUUUGCAUCAGGUUUUUGAGGGCUUUAUUCUUUGAAUAUCUCCAAAACUAGACAGUCAGUAUUGGACCUCUGCUGCAAUAUUUGAUUAACCUAAUGGGGAAACACUUUCAGGGUUAAAAAGUUGUGCCAGUGGUCCUGUUUCUGUUGGAGGAUAGCAAGCUAUAAAUGAUAUAUGGAAUCAGAAACAGGUUCUGCCUGUUGUGUUGCACUGGUACAUGAUGGGGGCUGGUACAGCCUUUGAUGGCCUUCAUUCAUCUCCCCUCCUGCUCACUGAAAUUGUCAAAUAUGUAGGCAAAAAGAGCCUCUGGCAGCAACAAGCAGGUUGCUCCUGCUUGAAAUAAGUAGAAAUCCAAAUCCUCAAAGCUUGACUUUCACCAGCAUUCUCUGUAUAGAGGAUGCACUACUGGACCUGCUCCCACCAUAGGAUGUGCCAGGGGUGGUUGCUUAGUGAAAACCAUUUACAGCUGUACCUGCACCAUGCUUCACCUUCGCAAGCACAAAAGCAAAGAGCCAAAAGCCUCUUAUCUCUUCUCACUGUGUUUGGCUCAACUUUUGUCCCCUCUGCUGGGUGUUCCAGCCUGGAACCUUCAGGGAAAGCCUUGGGAGGCUGCAGUGUGGCUCCUGGGCAGUGCAGCUGGUGCAUGGUGCAUCUUGCUCUGCUUGGGAGCCCAAAAGGCUUUCACACCAGCACUUGCAGUCACAGAGGCUCUGCUCUGGUCCUCUCCCCAACAGCAGAACCUGAGCAGUGUGCUGCUCCCCAGGAUGUUUUGCAGGUUGUUUGCUGCAGCCUUUUCCAAAUCGGUCUGGUGAAAUAAUGAAGCACAGUAAUGAUUCAUGAGCUGUUUUAUGUUGGCUCCUUGCAGAGCUGAAGGGCGAGGCUGUGAGCUCAAGCACUGCACUGCUUAUCAGUGGAGCAAAGGGACAGAGCACCCUGUGCUGGGUCAGACGUGUCCCUUUUAUGUAGCCUGAUCUGGCACCCCGUGCCUUGAAGAGGUAGUGCUAGAUGUCUCAUCUAAUAGGACAUCUGCCAUGUACCUUCCUACAACUUUCAUUUAAGGUUAUCUGUAAUACAAGGUUAUGUUCGCUGAGAUCCCGGGAGCAGAAAGCCUAUCUUUCACUAUUACUCUGCACAGAUUGCCUUGAUGGCUUGGUAAGUGAAUUAUGUAGGAGACAUUACACUGUGAAGAGCUGACCUUGUCCUUAACCUCAGCACAUUCUUCAAUUAAUGCCCUGCAAGAUAAAUUAAUUCUAUUAAUCCAUAUAGGCCUCAGAGCAGCUGAACUGGGAUUUCUGCCUUUCUCACUAAACCAAAUUCUCCCUUUCCCUUCCUAAUGAACCUUUUGCUUACAAUCAAUAGAAAAAAGCUACUUGAAAGCAAAACUAAACAGUGCUUGCUGUACUUAAAGCAUGCUUGCCCCCUGCAACCCAGCUGUGAAGGAGGAGAGAUGCUGAGAAGCUGCACCGCACUGCUUUUUGCCUCCUCGACCAUCCCUCAGGCAGAAAACCCACUCCACUAGCAGGGCACAGAGCUGGAAUGGAAACAGGGCUGUCUGACUGCAGGGAAGUGUCCAGCAGAGACCCCCAAGCUGUGUCUGCUCAGUGCAGGUGCAGCAUUCAGGCUAAUGCCUCAAACGCAGGGGCCUUGGGAAUGCUUCAGUGCUGCCCGAGCAUCGCUGCAGGUGAUGUACUGAGCACUCAUCCAUUCAGCAACCCUGGUAUUCUGGUUUAUUUGAUUAUACUUUAUGGGGUGGAUGUGGCAGCUGUCAGUACUGGCAGUAUCUAGGAUGUAUGGGUGACACAAAGGGAGACCAUUUCUCAUGGCAUAAUAAUGACGAUUAAGGAUGGGAUUCCUCCAAAGCAAUCGGGGAAGUCAAUGAGAGUCAGUAAGAAGUGGGUGCCUCAUUUCCUUAAUGUGCUUUUGAAAAUCCUAGCCUAAAACAUUGGUAUUUCAUAUGGACUCAUUUAAGUCUAUACAGGAGAAGUCUCAAAUCCUUUCUGAAAACCGAUAUGCAUAUUGUAAUUGGAACAGAUUAAAUAUGAAUAUCCACAGCAGCUUAACCUCUUAUUCUUCUUAUUUAAAAAAACAUCGGGUGUUUCAGCCAUAAGCAGCUACAUCCUGCAGUUAACAGUGGGCCAUAUCCAGACCUGUCAGCUCACACAGCUGCCCUGAGUUGAGCAGAGCAGCUCUGAUCUACCCCAGCUGGGGAUCAGAGGCUAAGUGUGAGAAGUAAUCGGAGCAAUAUUAUCAAGUUGCAAAUAUAUUCAGAAAAGUGCUGGUUAUCCAGUGCUCAGCAUACAUAAUGUCUCUGUAGGCAACCAACAUUCAGACAAGAAAUAGGGCACACGUUUUGAGCAGUGAGGGUAAUUAAACUGUUGGAGCAACUUACUCUGGGGAGGCAGUAGGCUCUCUGUGGUGUGAAAUUCCUAGACUGGGAAAGAGACCAUUGGAAAGAAACAAUCUAAAGCAAACAAAAACAGGGAGUCAGUUGCAGGGAUCGUGAUGGGGAAGUCCUGUUCUGAGUAAAAGAGGAGGUUAGACUUGAUUACCCUGAUGGACUCCUCCGGGCUGCAUGUAGGCAUUGAAUUGCUGAUUCUGAAAGGCGGCAGCAGCAGCCCAGCUUCUCAGGGUGCAUCUGGAUUUUCCUUUUCCUCUAUAAUAGCUCGUGCUCGUUGAUCACACAUGUCUCAUUUUGUCUCAUUUCUGAUGAAACUCCAGGUCUCUGUAGGAUACCUCAUGGAAAAAAAACUGCAUCUCACCUGGUGUCACACCAGCACUAUUACACCCAGCUCGACUCAUCUGCUUUCUGUUAGAGCUCAUCCAAUGGCUGUGAGUGCUUGGAUGGCUUUGCUCAACCACUUCAUUAGAGCCCUUUGCAACAAAGCCUCAGCACAGAUGAUGUCUCUGUCAAUGUAUGUGCAGUUCUGGCUAUUUCACACCUCUCUGACAGCAGAGACUUGCAUCAAGCAGCUCACCACAUGAUACAUAGGUGGUGAGAAGGAGGGAAGAGACAAAGAAGCGGAUAUUUGGACUGGUUUAUGAAGACUGUGGAAAUGAAUUUGUGUUUGAAUGCUGACAGACUUACGGCUGCUGACAACUUAAACCUAUGCAUUUUGGAGGACGGUAUUUCAUCAAAAGCUCAUCAGGUGCUCUGGAGUAGAUUUAUGCAGCCAGCAGUAAUACAACACAAAAUGUAAGGUAAACAGGGUGGAAAGUAAAUCACCAACUCUCUACAAGCAAAUAAGAACUCUUCAUGUUUUGGCUGACAUAUGCAAAUGGAGAGGAUGGAGGCAUGUAUGGCAGUGGUUCAUCCUUGGAGCUGGGGCUGUGACUGAAGCAGAGCUGGAGAUAGAGAUGGCACCAGGAGUCCCUGCAGAGACCUCUGCCACUGCUUUGUGUCUCAAAGCACAGUUCACUGUAGGACUUACACCCCUUAAGCAUGGUGGAAGAGCAGCUAAGGGGGAAAGGUGCUAUUCUUGCACAAGGGCUGGCUCGGUCCCACUGGAGGUGCACUGAACAGUGUGCUAUCCCUGCUGAAGGCUUCUGCUUCUCAGGGAAGCCCUCCAGAACAGAGCAGCCUUACAGUAGUGCUGUACCAAAACACACUGCAAUGCUGAAACUCAUAGUAGCAAUACAGCACAGCAAGGAUGAGGUCCUGCUGGGAAAUUACUUAUGUGUGGCUUCAGAAAAAGCAAACUACUUCCAUCACAUGCUUGUGCAGCUGAGCAGCCCUUGAGGCUGUAAAACUGCACCAUCUUACAGCAGAUCCCACUGGUGAUCCUGCUCUAGAUCAGCAUUCCCCCUUUACAGUGCUGGCUUGAGCUGCUGUGUCUCAUUCAGCUCCUUGAAAUCUGCAAAGCCCCUCUAGCUCAGAUUUGCCUCCUGCCGCUUCCUCACUCCACAUGUUCCUCUUCUCAUGUCCCAACAAAGACCCUCCCCUCUCCUUCUCUGGGCCACUUGCCCAGCCCUGGGUGCAAUACCUGAUCCCCACCCACCUGCCUGCUGUUCUUCAGGCACCCAAUGCUACAAGUUGAGCUAUGGCCUCAUGAUUAGCCUCACAUUACAGCUCCUGGGACAGGACACCACCCAUGUGUCCUCCCUGCUAUCACCCUCCUCCAUUUUACAUCAGCAUCUGGGGUCCAGGUCUCCAUUUCCCCCACCAGGAAUCAGAACAGAUCUGGCCCAGGAGCUUCAUUUCUACCUCUCUGUCUCUUCCUGGGUUUGAUAUGAUUUGAAAUAUUUUGGGGGAGGGGAUGCAAACACUUUUCCCAUUACGCGCAUAUCAUUAGCUUUUCCCUUUGUGUUCGUGAUUUAAUAACUUCUGAAUCUGUCACAAUCAGUGUUGAAAGGAGCGUGGCUGGAUGUAAUGGAAUGAUUUGAAAAGAAAUGCUAAAAAACGGGAACAGUCAGCAUCCUUUUUAGCAGAUGUAGAGUGAAUAAUAUUUAGGGACGUGUUUAUAAAUCAGUACACCCUUUAAUUAAGCAAAACAUUUUGCUAAGAAAGAAUAAAUUAGCAAUUCAUGGCACAAGGCUUGGCCUAUUAUCAAAGAGCUUGUAUGCGAUAAAGCACAAUUGUCUGCGUGUCUUAAGAGCUAAUUAUCAGUAACUUGUUUAAUUCUUAUUUCAGAGCUGCUUGUGAAGAGAUGAGACAAAAAGAUCUACACGAGGGAUGUGGGCUCGUGGCUUGGCUUUCCCUUGACUCUCUUUCGAAGCUGCACUAAUUGCCUUGAGCAGAAGGGCACCUGUGGCUGCUGUGCAGGCCCAGGCUGAGGGGAGGAUUGCUUCCAUCCAGCACAAGGCAGAGCCAGCACUUCUCUCUUACAAACUCAUUCUGUAAUGCUGCAAAAGUUAUAUUAAUCUUGGUUUCUUCUUCACAAAAUGGGGAUGACAGCGCUGCUGGGCUGGUGGAGGUGUGCUGAGGAUGGAGACGUGAGGCUCAGAUGUUUGAUGUAGAGAUGGGGCAAACAAGGACCAGGAAGAGACCGAAGAAAGUGAGCAGUGAUGGAGUCUGGUGUUCCCAGUGCAGCUCUGCAUUGUGCAGAGACUGUGGCACAUGGGAGGUAUCGCACAGAUCUGAGAGAAGAAGGAAUGCUACGUGCUCUAUCAGAAACCCAACAGAAAGGCAGUAGGGGCCUCAGAUCCUGGGACGGGAGGGACGUUGAUGUAUAAGCCUCAAAUAUUUGUCUCUUGGGCACAUGCCAACAGAAGAGUUGAAGCAUGCCAUGCUGGCACGAGUGACAGGAUUAUGAGCUGUUUCAAUCUGAUGCAGAUGGUCUUCCCAUUUGCUUCCUUGUUUAAACAGCAAUUUGGCAAGUUUGUCAUUCAUAAAGCUUUUAUAGCGCUCCACAUGCUUCUCCCCUGUGGCCCACUAGGAGCUGCUUGGAUGUUUGUUGAUGUCUGGAAACACGCAUUAGUCUUUAAUGAGGUUGUAUUCUUACUGUUUCCUUUGGUCAGAGGAGCCUUGGGAAUUGCACACUAUAGAAUGUAUCCCCACUGAAAAACCUGCAGCUUCUCACCAAAGCAUCACUUGAUGCACAAUGCACAGCCCAGCUAUUGGAAUGGGGAACAGAGGAGCGCAUUGAGAUGGGCUGAGAAAAAGCUGUGUGAACUCACAGGUGUUACUCAAAGCAGAGGCAAUGGAGAAGAAUGGAGACAGGGCCCAGGCAGCCCCAUUGCAAGGCACUGCUGGAGGUGGAGCAGGCAGGGGGAAUCCCCUUAUGAGCUGGGGAAAGGCUGACGAACCAGCUCAGAAGGUGAUGUGGUUCUGCUUUGCACACUUCAGAUAAGCUCUUCUUUUAUUAACAAGGCAAACAGACUGCAGGAAUCCUAAAGGGUUUUGUUUGCCCACAAGUAGUAUCGAUGCAAAGCACAACUGAAAUAUAAUCAAUUAAUAGCUUUCAUGUCUUUUUGCUGAGUGUAAAACAGCAAAGCAUCACGGCUUGCAUUGGCACAAGCUGCUCAGAUCUAAAGGCAAGUAAAUAUUUAGCCAAUAAUUUUGAUUUUGAGCAACAAUAUGCAUCUUUAUUCCUUAUUGGCUGAUUUGUGUUCUUAAUAGAAGGAAUAAGGAAUGCUGGGGUAUCAGUCUUCAACUCCGCAUCUUCUGCAGUGGGACAUUGUCAUCUUUGCAGAAAUGCAGGAAAAAGUCUUUGGCAUUCUGUACUCUGCAGCUACCUCAUCCAGAGCUGCCUAUGCUCAUGUAUUCCAGCAGUCUUUUCUGCUGUAAUUAGGACCUGCCACAAAUACAGCUUGUGGACAAGGACUCCUCAUCUAUUUUUCUGUCCCCUCAGAAGAAACCCACACAGUUUGUUAUAGAUCAGUGUAUUUAUAGGCUUUGCUCCAUGGCAAACAGGCUAAUUUUUCACCUUUUCCUUAUCUGUAUGUACUUGCAAAGACUGUGUUUCACGUUAUUUGAUGGAGAGAUGUGAAAACAAGAGGCAGCUGGAGGUCAGACAACAGCAGGCAGGUAACCAUAGACUUAGCUUGCUGUGGGACCUCUGCCAAUGCAUUUAACACUUCUGAUCCUGCUUCCCCCAGAUGUUGUGAGAAGAUAACACAGAAUAUAACGCAGGAGCAGGACUGGAGCCCCGAGAGGGGAUCAGCUUUGAGCACAGUGUGACACCCAAGCAGUGGAGGAGCACCGAGUGAUGGUGGUGGUGGUCAGUCCAGGCUCAUGGCAGGGCGAGGCACACUGAUGUUUUGCAUCUGGAAUCCAAACCAGACCCAUUUGGAAGGCACAACAGCCAAGUACAAGGUGCCCUGGCCUCUGUUUUCACAGGCUGAAGAAUUGAGCCAUGCGUGUAUUCAGAGACCAUACAUCUUUCUCUACAACAGUGCAUGCAAAUGCUGGGUUCAAGCUUUGCUAAUGAUUGUCAGAAACUGCAAAAGGAUUAGAGCUUGGUUCUUGCAGACUUGACAAAAAGAAAAAAAAACAAAACAAAACAAAACAAAAAAAAAAAAAAAACAGAAAAAUUGGCUCCAGACUUCUGUGGGAUGGUGAAAAACUGUGUUUAUCUUAUUCUUAAAGUGUUUUUCUCCUUGAAUCUUUUGUUGUAAGUUUUCAAAUGAGACCUGCAAAGAGGACAGCCUGAAGAGGUGUGUUUGCCUCCAGAGCAUGUUGUGUGGCCACCAAGCAGCACUCAGAGCCUCCUGCAGCCCUCAGCUAACCAAGGAGCCCAGUGGGCAUUAGGAGGUUCUGGAAAUGCACUAAAUAGCAACAAGAGCAAGUACAGAGAUGUUGGGAUAAUGUGAAGGAAAGAGCACAUGUCGCUGGGUGGGAGCAGAGGAAACACACAAAAGACAAGAGAUGAACACUUCCAGCAUGUAGCCUUGCUGCAUUUUCUCUGCAACCACCACUGCCACAACUUUGUCAUUGCUCAGAAAAGCUGACGUGGAGGGGAAAAAUACAACUGCAAGAGCCGAGGAUUCUACAAAUCACCAGUUAUCACAGAGGAAUUAAUUUGUCAUAGGAUGUAGGAGGGGAAUAACCCCCUGUGCUCUUCAGGAGAGCCCCACUCCAGCACUGCUAGAUACCUAAUCGUUUUCAGUGCUGUAUGUUUGUACAGUGUCAGUGAUAAUGACAAGCAUGAGAUGAGGUGUUUAAUCUUCCUGGAAUUCAGUUUCCUUUGCAUUACCAUGGCAAUGCAAGAAAAGAUUUGAUCACUAGCUGAGACACUCCAGUAAAAAUUAAUACAGCUUCUGCCAAGGAGAGGAGACUGACAGCUGUGUUUGUAAGCCUGAUUUGAACCUUCUGUUUUCCACGUUAUAUCAAAAGCCACGAGCCCAGAGAAAGUUGAGGGAAAAAAGAGAAAUCUUACAGCAACUUAAGAGAAAUGCCUGAAGUUAAGAGAAUAUGUUUAAUUCUUGCUAAAUUGGCAUCAACGUCUGUAGCUGACUGCAAGGCAAGAAAGUCCAAACUCCCUUGAGGCAGCAAGUUCUAAAAUAACCUCCUACUGCAGCAUUUUGCUGUCAGAAGUUCUAACUUGUGACUCUGCUCGUUCCUCUGUAACAUCUUUGUGCUCACUGGGGCAGGAUCUGCUAUUUUAUCCCUUGUUUGUGACAUAGGAACAAUAGACCCAUAUCUGAGGUCUCUCAUGCCAAAGUAAAAACAACUCCAAUUUUAAUAUCCAACGGAUUUAAUGUUCUUUAUUCCCACUCAUAACUAUGAUAGUAAUUAUUUUCAUAGUUCUACUCAUUCCUUUAAUGAAUGUUUUAAGCCUGAGCAGAGGAUGCAGGUGUACACAUCAGCAGUCAAGUGUGCAAGUGGAAGGUGGUAUGAAAUUAAGUGAAAUGAUUCCUCCAAGCAUCAGCCUCCCAUAACUGACCAAGAAAGCACCUCUCUGAAUGACAAAAGGUCACAAACCUCUCUGCAUGUCCUCAUUGGUGCUAAGGGCAGAGGACACAUUAAGGAUGGUCUCCUCUUCACUGUUCCCACUUGCUUCUUAGAAGCUGUCCAAGUACCACAUGUUGCGCAUGAGAGUCAAGGUGAAUGUUCUUCAUGAAGACCAGGAGUUGAUGGGGAUAAGAAGAGGAGGUGUGAGAAGAAUAGGGCUCAUGCGCACUGCAGGCAGCCAAGGAGCUCAGGUGGUCUCAGGAUUUUGAGCUUGAUCAGAAUGCAGAUUUUUGCUGCCCCAGUUAAUCAGGAAGAAUUGAGGUUGGCUCAACCACUGGAAGCAGAACUCAUUUGACAGUAAGGAAAUUGUUCUCCAAAACUUUGUGAAGGUCCAGAGUAUGAUAAAGCCAACAACAUCCAUUGGUAGCAGUGAGGGUUGCAGUGCUCAUGCCCACAGACGUUUGUCCAUCAUCGUAGGAGUCAUAGAUAAGGUCAGCUGUGACAGCUUCUUGCCUACAAAAUCUUCUGAAUGUUUUGAAUCAAAGCCAUUUGAGUAAGUGCCAACCACAAUGAUGUUCACCUUGUUCUCUGUCAGACUAAAUCGUUUGCCACCCCAUUUCUUGGUGACAUCUUUGGGCAGAGCCCAGCUAAUGGUUAACACAGCGAGAUCAGCAGUUCAGUUCAGCCAUCUGGAACAAAGCCACAGCCUGUCCAGCCCGUAACUUAGCAGCAGUGACAGUACUUGAAAGCCAGACUGACAUCUCUCUAACUCAGACGCACAUUCACGUCAGCUCUUGUAAAGUUUUUAUGCUGGGGAUCUUUCUUUUGCAGGUGAUUCCUAUGGGCAUGUAGACUACUGCCUGCAGACUCCUGCCAGGGCUCAAAAAAGAAGUCUCCAGCUGUAACUUUCCUUUUUCCCUACCUAGCACUUUAUUGCAAUUGGAAAUGUUUCAUAAGGCCACCAGCCUAAUUGAAAAGAUACUAUCUGAGAUACGGUUCUGAAAUGCAUGCAUUUAGAGUUAACUGUACAUGCAAAAUAGAAAUAUAUGCAUAUGUAUGUACCUACAACCAUUUUUUCUAUUUUUGGCUGGAUGAGCACAUUUGCUGGGAUCAAUUUAGAUUCUGAUCUCUGGCAAAUUAGUGUCCAGGACUAAUAUUUUCCAAAGGCAUUUGUUUGUGAAAAAAAAAAAAUGCAUAUUCAACUGCACGUCCAAUCUGCAAGUAGACUUUCUGCACUGCUGUACUGAUCAGGAAUUGCAUGGAAAAUAAGUCUAUCCAUUUGCAUUACUGGUUAUCUGAUUUACCAGCACAGCCAUUCAUGCAAGCUAGACACUUGGGUGAAUUUAGAUUUUGUACAUGCAUGUGUGUAGCUGAGUCUAUUGAAAAAUCUAGGUCAAACACUGUAGACAACUUUUGGCCUGACUUCUGUAUCCACAAGCACUUUGCUGUAUAAGAAAUUGAUUCGAGCACAUUAGAGAAGGGGCUAGAGGAAGUUCUGAUCAAACGAAACCGAUUUAUAUAACUCAGUCUCCCCAAAAUACAGCCACUGAGAGUUUCUUAAGUGGAGAACUUCCCAUUUUGUUCAGCUCCAUUAAAAUGGAAUCUAGCAGUGCCACCACUGUAGCACAGUAACAGAGCGCUGCAGUUCGAUAUGCAUCCUGCUGUUCCACUCUCAGGUUCAAACUUGAGGUUGAGCUUGUUUGAGGAUUGAUCUAGUUUUCCAGGCUUCCUUUUCUAAAGAAGCGAAUGGGAACUUUUGCCCUCAGUUCUGACUCACAGUUAUCCUUUUUUUUCUCUAGAAGAUUCCUCACAUUUACUCAGUGGGAAAACAUACAGGUACCAGUAGGCAGUAUGAGUGAAUGGAAACAUCACCCUAUGCUCAUGCCUUUAACACAAAUCUCAGCUUGAAGGGGCUUUGGGGAGGGAGGGAAGGGAAUACCCUGUUUCUCAUUUAUCACAUAUCACAAAGUUUGAGGUCUUUGUGAAUGUGAGACUUCAAACUGUCUCAUUUUGCUCAGCACUUCAAACAUGCCAACAUCAUCAUAGCAAUUUCUGAAGAUAAUUUAUUGAUUAAUAUAAGGGAAACACUAGUACAGCAUAUUUAGAUGGUUCACAUGUCUCUAGCUUAGCUCAAAUAAGUCAAGAAGAAAGACAUUCUCUAGCAUUCAGGUCUGCUUGACAGAGUGAUCACAUCAGUUAGACUGACUUAAGCUUUUACAUGACAAGAACCUGCUUGUCAAUGGCUUUAGCUUUGAAUAAUAUAAAUAAAGAGAAAAUCCACAAAUAUGAAGACUAAGUCAGUGGAUACUGAGACUGAGCACUGUGGAAAGAGCCACCAGAGCCACCUAUCCAUCAGUUUUAGGUAAUCACAAUAUAGGCUGCUUCUCCCACCAGAUUCGGAGAUUCUCCUCUUCACACAUUCCCACCAAUAUAUAAAACAUCUCUCAGGAAACUUAGGAGUAAUACUAAAAAGGUAAGUGACAGAAUUCCCUAAAAUUAAGUGUACCAAAUAUGUCAUACCUCAUUUGAAAGGGGGAGAGCUCCUUGGUUUCUCUCCUUCUCGCAUCAGUGUGUCACACAGUCCUUGCAAAACGCCAGGAAUAAGUAGGUAACUCUGGUGCUCAGGAUGCAUUUGUCUAGUCAUUAAUUCAGAAGGCAUACAAGGCACUAACUAGCUGGAGGGAGAAAGCCUGUGCCAGCAAGGAAGGGCCUGCUGAAUAUAUAACAGAAGUAAAGACACCGAUCUCGGUCUUCUCAGACCACAUUUACAUGAAGACGCAUGUGUCAGGAGAAACAUGGCUAUCCAGAAGGAAAAGCAAUUAGAAAUGGUAGCUUUUGACAGUAUGCAGUUCCUAACCGAGAGAGCUGAACAAGUAUCUCUCCUUCCUUUUUGCUAAUGCAAAGAUAACGUAUGAAAAAUGUCACUCAGCACAACAGGAGAACUAAGACUGGCAGUGUGAGGGAAGGAAGGACCAAGAGGAAGAGCUGGCUCUGUGGCUGAUGAGAAAGGCUAUUCUCCCAGAAAUGCCAGCCCUGAUGUGAACUGUAUGGGCAUGCUGAGGGACAGCUGAGAUCUGAGCUAAAUAACAGUUAAUGAAUUUGAUUAUUGAACUUCAUACCUUGCCAAAGUAACCUUGUUUCCUCCUUUCCAGUCUAGAGUUUGUCUAGAGGUGUGCAUGCAGCCACAGAGCCAUGGUCCCAUGGGAUCACAGAAAUAUGGUGGGACAGCUGACCCAACUGAAAGGCUGCCGGCGUGGACAUGGACUCUUCAGAAGGAAUGGUCUGAGAAGGAGAGAGAUGGGAGGUCAUCUGCAUGAACGCACAGCAGGAGUACAAGAUGAGCAGGCAGAAUUUUUCCUUGGAGAGCAUAAGCACAAGCCUUGGCUGGGCUGCUGGUGGCAGAGGGACAACUGGUCUCCAACCCAAGAUCACACAAAUUCAGUACCUUGGGGGAAGAAAACAGAACUCUCACUGAAAUGUUCACGAGAAAAUACUCUGUUCACAAAUUAUUAAUGACACUGAAGAAGUUCUAGUCACCUUGUCCAAUGGGCUAAAGUAACCAAGAUGAAAUGAGAAUGGAGGUCAGUAUUUCCUCAAAGACAAAUCCUUGCUUUCCUCUGUCCCCAAGGACAGCUGGAGGGUAUGACAGCAGGCAGGACAGGAGCCUGCAGUGAUAUUCCCAUCCUAUUCAAAACUCUAGGGAUAAACAGCAGAGCUUUGGCUCU